CAAAAUAUUUUAAGGUCUCAUCGAUCUGUUCAAUGGUCAGUUCUAAGAUCUUCAUCGAUCGCGAUCGGGAUCAACGGAGUCUGUAUCCAGUCUUCGUUAUCAUAACCACAAAAUCAGUAAUGCUAUCAGACCGUAAACGAUAUUUAGGUAUCUGUUCUUCAAUCAAACUUAAUAUUUCUACUUCCGGGAAAUUUCCACUGCUACACAAAGAAAUAAAAU
rnacentral:lncRNA from 1 species